UACAGAGGGUGCGAGCGUUAAUCGGAAUUACUGGGCGUAAAGCGUGCGCAGGCGGUUCGUUAAGUCAGCUGUGAAAGCCCCGGGCUCAACCUGGGAGCUGCGGUUGAAACUGGCGAACUAGAAUCUGGCAGAGGGGGGUGGAAUUCCACGUGUAGCAGUGAAAUGCGUAGAGAUGUGGAGGAACACCGAUGGCGAAGGCAGCCCCCUGGGCUAAGAUUGACGCUCAGGCACGAAAGCGUGGGGAGCAAACAGG
rnacentral:rRNA from 1 species